GAUGAACGCUGGCGGCGUGCCUAAUACAUGCAAGUCGAGCGAACAGACGAGGAGCUUGCUCCUCUGACGUUAGCGGCGGACGGGUGAGUAACACGUGGAUAACCUACCUAUAAGACUGGGAUAAAUUCGGGAAACCGGAGCUAAUACCGGAUAAUAUAGUGAACCGCAUGGUUCAAUAGUGAAAGACGGUUUUGCUGUCACUUAUAGAUGGAUCCGCGCCGCAUUAGCUAGUUGGUAAGGUAACGGCUUACCAAGGCAACGAUGCGUAGCCGACCUGAGAGGGUGAUCGGCCACACUGGAACUGAGACACGGUCCAGACUCCUACGGGAGGCAGCAGUAGGGAAUCUUCCGCAAAGGGCGAAAGCCUGACGGAGCAACGCCGCGUGAGUGAUGAAGGUCUUCGGAUCGUAAAACUCUGUUAUUAGGGAAGAACAAAUGUGUAAGUAACUAUGCACGUCUUGACGGUACCUAAUCAGAAAGCCACGGCUAACUACGUG
rnacentral:rRNA from 1 species